ACUGAAACGUUCUUAAGUUACAUGACUAUACUGUGAAAUAACAAAUCAUGUUUGAUUUGCAAUUAUAUUGCAAUACAGCCACAGUUAGGGCACAUUUGCGUAAGUGUGACACAGCUGGUGUGACUGUGAGAGACACUAGAGACACUUUGCAUGCAGAGGAUCAUUUGCAUCAGUGUUAAACACUUCAGUGCCCUGGCAGUGUUUAUUAGUCCUGUGUGUUUAGCUCUUCAUGACUGACAGUCGGGUCUCAUCGUCGUGGAGCUGAAGGCAAACAUGAGCUUCAUCAUCAUCAUCUUCCUCUGGUCGCUCAUCUUCUGCAGUCAGGGAUCCAGAGGACAGUACACAGUGACUCAGACUCCCCCAGUGAAAUCUGCUCUCCCAGGCAGCCCAGUGACCCUGAGCUGUAAAACAGGCACUUCCAGUGGGCUGGGUAAUGAUGUAUCCUGGUAUCAGGUGAAACCUGGAGAAGCUCCUAAGCUACUAAUAUAUAAAAUUAGCACCCUCCACACUGGGACUCCAGCGAGGUUCAGUGGAUCUGGAUCUGGGACUGACUUCACUCUACAGAUCAGUCAAGUCCAGUCUGACGAUGCAGCUGAUUACUACUGUUUUGCUCAGUAUUAUGCUCCAGACUUCACACAGUGA